UACGUAGGGGGCUAGCGUUGUCCGGAAUCAUUGGGCGUAAAGAGCGUGUAGGCGGUCCGGUAAGUCCGCUGUGAAAGUCGGGGGCUCAACCCUCGAAUGCCGGUGGAUACUGUCGGGCUAGAGUGCGGAAGAGGCGAGUGGAAUUCCUGGUGUAGCGGUGAAAUGCGCAGAUAUCAGGAAGAACACCCGUGGCGAAGGCGGUUCUCUGGAACGCAACUGACGCUGGAGACGCGAAAGCGUGGGGAGCGAACAGG
rnacentral:rRNA from 1 species